AGCAGUCAUCUCCAGCCAGCACCGAACUCUGCCAGCAGCCAUCUGUACACUCCAAGCAGCCUGCCUCCAGGAGAGACAGCAGGGUGCAGGGCACAGGGUGCUGAAGUUGUAGGGAGAACCCGCGUUAGCUCAGUAAGCAGGGAUCAAGCCCCUCUGUGUGCCAGGAACUAUGUCUGUGUUCCGGCCCUGGCUCUGCCACUAAGCCAAGAGACAGAAAAUGCAACUCUUAUUGCCUGGACCUAGAGCAGAUGGCUUCCACCACCCGGCCCCCUGGCAUGCCAUGAUCUCUCUCCCACCUUCUUCCCGCCUAUGUCAGGUGCCAAGGCUUCCCCACUCCCUGCCACUGCCACCUUCUCUGGGGAGGAGAGGAGUAACUUGCCAUGAUUCUUUGGGGGUACUGAGAUAAUAGGGUCAUAUGUUCUUUCAUUUGCUGAUUCAACAAAUAAUUAUGAAGCCCCU
rnacentral:lncRNA from 10 species